GGGGUUGUGGCUCAGAGGUAGAGUGCUUGCCUAGCAUGCAUGAGGCACUGGGUUCAAUCCUCAGCACCACA
rnacentral:tRNA from 1 species